GGAGAGGUCGCAUAGUGGUCUAGUGCACCACCUUGGAAAGGUGGCAUACUGUAAAAGGUAUCGGGGGUUCAAAUCCCCCCCUCUCCG
rnacentral:tRNA from 1 species